AUUGUUCUUGAAGAGAGCAACCCACACGUUGCCGCCCUUGCAGUGAACGUGGUAUUUCAUUACUGCAUGGCACCCAACUCAAGAAAAUUGAAGAGUUUAGGUGAAAUGCAAGUCCAGAGUGACAAGGCCAAGUGACCAGAAGCUGAACCUUCUAAAAUAAUGAGCCAAAAUAAAC